rnacentral:lncRNA from 1 species
GCAAGUAUUGCAUUACCUUCUACAUUAUCUUUCCAGUGUCAAUCCUCGUUAACUAAGCUUGCUAACAGCUUCCCUUCAGAUCUUAUAAAACAGAUAAAUAUUCCACACUUUAGCUAUACUUGCAUUAUGUAAUCUUCUUAACCAAUAGAAACUGAAAAUAAGUUCAGAACAUAAUACACUUUUUCAGCCAUAUAGUGUGUAGACCAGAUAAUACAACAAAUCAAUUUCCAGCACAUACAAUGAAGAAUUAAUUUACCCAGAGAUUUGCAGAGGUUAAGUGGUGGAUGUGAAUGCUUACAAAGUCCACUCCAAUUGUACUGAUAUAUAGGUGUCAACGUAUAAAUCAUCUUGUUUGACAGAAAAAUAAGAUAUUAAGAAGUGUAACCCGCACUUCUGAAAAUAUAACUCAAGGUAAAAGAAUGAAACCAAUAAACAAAAUAGAGAACAAUCAAUUGAAACAAAUUUAAAUCAAAUUCAAUCGCAGCGAACAAUCCUAUUGUAAUUCAUGAUAUAGUGAAUUCCUCUAGCAAAGCGAACACUAAUCCUCGAUAACAACAAUACUAAUGCAAAAAUCAAUUUGUAGUACAAAGAUAAAUAAGCAAAAUUCUUAAAUGAUAUGAUUUGAAACAUGGAAAAUUAUCAUUAGCAAAACAAUUAAGCUUUUACCACUGAAAAUUAUCAUUAGCAAAACAUGAAAAAUCACAUAAAAGAAAUGAAAUGUGAAAUAAAAGCUAGUACUGAUGCAAUUAAAUGUAAUAUAUCAAUGACAUCUCAAAACUAACAUAAGAAUUGGUUUCUGCAUCAAUCAACAUGUCAUAU